rnacentral:tRNA from 2 species
GGGGAAGUAGUUCAGCGGUAGAACAGGCUCGCAACGCCUAGUCGGUGGUUCGAAUCCAUCCUUCUCCA